ensembl:lncRNA
UGGGGAAGCAAUAAGUCAUGGUGAAAACCUGUUGGUCUCAUCCAGAGAAGUUGCUGCAGGGCACCCAGGUGGAUACGGUUUGGGUUUCUUUUAGCAGCUCCACCUAAAAUUAAAAACACAACAGUAAUUCAAUGUGGUGCCACCCAAACCCACAUGGGUUCUCUCAAACUACUGGAAGGGCUAACUCCAAUUUGCACCACUGCUGGAAGGAAUGGGCGGCUUGUAUGGAACCUGGGGAUGUGAAACUGCACCCAUACAACUGCCACAAUGGCUAUGUCAGGAGCCUUUGGGGAGAGAGGAAUAAAAACCUGCAAGGGCUUUUGUUUUGUUCCUUGUGUGUGGUGAUUUCAUGGGCUCAUUACCAAAGUCCUGGGGCCAAACUGAUCCCUGGUGAAUCUUCUCCAAAGUCAGCUGAGGCACUGCCUGAUGAGGAGAGAGUUUCCAUUCACUUCGUUCCUGGAUCUUCCACUGAUCUGCUGAGUGACCUUGGUUUAAAGUCAUUUUAUCUUUCCACAUCUAUUCUACCUUCCCUCAUCUUGGCCUCUGUCCAACAGACUAUCUCAAUGCACAAUACAGUUGCUUCAUGUGGUGUUUUCCAAUUUUUUUUGGAUAACACAUAACACAUGGGGACUCCAGUAUAUGCAGAAUAUGAGGCUUAGUAUGAUAGACUUUUCUUAAAACUGUUUUUUUCACUCAGAGUUGAAGGAUGGAACUAAUUGUUAGUGAAAACCUGCUCCCAGUCCAGGACUUUCAGAAAGCUAUGGAUGGGGAGGAAAAUGCCUACAUUACAAUGUCUUUCUAUAACACUGGAACUACAGAGAGGAAGUUUUAGAAAAUCUUAUAGAUGAUAAAAUAUAUGGAAAUCACUGGUGGUAAUAUCUAGUCCUUUCUUCUCGCAAAAACAACUUAUCCUCAUCCGAGCAGCAUUGAGCCACAGAGCCUCGGGAAGAGGGAAUUUAUAGAAAUGUUUGGUUCUGGCAUGAGUUGUUACUGAAAGAUACCAUCUUAGCAGAGUCAAUAGCACUGAAGGCUAUUGAAUAGCACUGAAUAGCAGAGACAUCUGUGGCAGCUCAUCCCAUGAAUAUCCUGGCAUAUUAGCAAAGCACCAGCUGAAAUACUGCGGUGGCAGAUAAGCAAGCAGUUUGUGUGCCACUACUAAUGUGUAAUUGCUAAGCACACAGUAAAGAUUUCACUGUAGCUUUUCUGUAACCCCAGACUGGAAUUCCAAAACUGGUAAAGAGCAAAAGGAAAGAGACAAAUGAACUGACCUGCUGGGGGAUCAGAAGUUACUCUUGGUAAAUAGCUCAAGCAGCGUAUCUAUAUUGGGUAUGUGUAAAAUGCCAACAUCCAAGAUGAAAGAGGACAAACAUUUUAACAGUGAUCAUUUGUUUGCUUCAUUUUGGUUACAAACUGUUUUAAAAGAAAAUACUCUUAUCGUUGAGAUACUUUUUGU